rnacentral:rRNA from 1 species
CCUACGGGUGGCAGCAGUGAGGAAUAUUGGUCAAUGGACGAGAGUCUGAACCAGCCAAGUAGCGUGAAGGAUGACUGCCCUAUGGGUUGUAAACUUCUUUUAUAUGGGAAUAAAAUGUUCCACGUGUGGGAUUUUGUAUGUACCCUAUGAAUAAGCAUCGGCUAACUCCGUGCCAGCAGCCGCGGUAAUACGGAGGAUCCGAGCGUUAUCCGGAUUUAUUGGGUUUAAAGGGGGCGUAGGUGGGUUGUUAAGUCAGUUGUGAAAUUUUGCGGCUCAACCCUGAAAUUGCAGUUGAAACUGGCAGUCUUGAGUGCAGGAGAGGUAGGCGGAAUUCGUGGUGUAGCGGUGAAAUGCUUAGAUAUCACGAAGAACUCCGAUUGCGAAGGCAGCACACUGGACUGCAACUGACACUGAGGCUCGAAAGUGUGGGUAUCAAACAGGAUUAGAUACCCCAGUAGUC